GCUUUGUCAGGAGGAACAUCUUUCUACCCCUGGACUAAGCUAAAGCGAAUGAUUAGAGGCCCUAGUGUCGAAACAAUCUUAACCUAUUCCCAAACUUUAAAUGGGAAAGAACCUUUUUUGAUAUGUAGGUUGGGUUGUGAUAUAUUGUGAUCAGUAGUCCACUUUGGUAAGCAGAACUGGCGCUGUUGGUUGAACCA
rnacentral:ncRNA from 1 species